rnacentral:lncRNA from 1 species
GUCUGCUUUAAUGGAAACAUAAGUAUUAUGCAUUGCAGUCUAUCGUAAAUUGGUUGUAAUUUUCUCCUGACACUUUCUGAAUUAAACUAGUUAGUAUACGAAAAAUAAUAAUAAUAAUAAUAAAAUAAUAAUAAUAAAUGCCACAAAGCAAAAGCAAACUGGGUGUCUGAAGGUUAAUGAUUGCUCAUGAAAGCCACAGAAAUAAAUUAUCUGCCUAGGGACACUGUCACAUGAUCAGCACAAAAGCUGCAACAGCCAAAAAUGUUUAUGUAGAGGAAAAAAACACAUCAGCGUCACAGAACCCUUCCCCCCACAGCUAAAUUCAAGUCCUGAGCCAGCCAGCUGCUCCUGACUGCUUACAUUAAACUAAUUUGUGCUGCUACAUUGCAGCUGCUUAAUUUUUAGUCUGAACUUUAUCACCAAUAAGUGUUACAAUAACAAGCGAUAUGAUGGUAUCUCUGAAGAAAUAUCCAUCAACCCCCAAACAAUGACAACCUCACAAGAGUACACUGCAGAAAAACAAAUUUAAAAAACAACAACAAAAAAAAACAAAAAAAAAACACAAAAAAAGAAAGGAAGAAAGAAAAUUACCCCCACACUGCCUCUUUAAAGGGGGGGAGGGGCAAACUUUUAGUGGGAAAGGCUUUAAAAUGCUGCUUUGUUCCAAAGGCCAUUCUGCAAUGAUGAAGGGGGAUGAUUGAAAAGAGCUCAGCGUGAUACCUCCGUCUGCUGUUGGCAAAGCUUUAAGACUGCUGGGAACUCAGACGAAAUCAUCCACAGGCUUGGAGAGCUGGACUAAAUUGGUCUAACUAGGACACUUGAAGGCUUGUGAAUCAGUUCACACGAUCAGUGUGAAAAGCGGGUAUGAAGACCCAGAUGCUGGUGUGUACGUGUGCAUAUAAGCCCCAACAGCUAGAAAUCAAGCCUUUCUGGCUUCCGAUUGUUGGAGAAGUGGAAACAGUUAAUGGAGUAUGCAAUGAGUUCUGGCGGUCAGAAGUCCAAAAUGGGUCUUACACGACUAAAAUCCAGAUGUCGACAGGGAGGAAGAACUGAGGAUCCUACAUCAUGUUAGGGAGCAGCAAGAGCACUGUAGUAAGACAUAACCCUCCUUUGCCUCUCUAUGUCCUCUGCCCCAUGCUGCUUAUGUCCUUAUUGAAGUUAAGAGUCCGGCUGUCAUUGAGAACCUCUGAUACUGCACCAUUUGAUGAAGGGCUAUGAAAAAUUCCCCCGAGAACAGCAAUGCACACUGAUCCUACCAGCUCAUUCACUAGAAUACACUUUCUAAAGCCAAUACUAAUGGCUGUAGGCAAAUAGAGCAGGACGGUCAAGAUACCUCUACCCACUUCAUUCUACGCAUAGACUGUCUGGUUCUCUGAGGUCACAGCAGUAUAAUCUUAAGGUGACCAUUAAGAUCUGAUUGACACAUUUUCAGGAUUUAAAGUAAAAUUAAAAGAACGUGGAAGGCAGCUGUUUGUGGCACUGUAACAGAUAGCCAUGUUUACGAAAACAAAUUCAAGUUGAGCAAUGAUCUGGCAGAUUUUGUUUGCCAGGGAGGACCAUUGAGCCAAUGGGACCCACAAUUUUCCCACUUCAAGAGAUUUUUUUUUUCUCAAUGACAUUAUAUAACUGAUUCAGAUAUCAUUUUUCCUUUACAUACCCAGACACAACCCUAGAGAUGCCGAGCCCCCAGAUAUUUCACUUUUUAUCAGAUAUUUGGCACAAAGAAACACUUCUGCAGUCUAUAGUUUAAACUAUACAACUGUCUGGGAAAACUUUGUGAUUGUAGGUGCUAAUUUCAACUGUCCUGUAACUCAUUCCUCGGUAUUACCAUCUAUAAAAUGGAUGUAGCAAUAAUAAAUUAAGUCAUGAAAUUGUUUAUGGGGAAUAACCACUGAUGGGAUUAUGUGGCACUUUACAUACGUAAAAUCCUAAGUAGUCCAAGCAAUCAAAAGUAACAUUUUCCAGUGACAUCUCCAUAAAAGCCACUUUCUUCUGAACAAAUACAAACUUUCCAGAGAUGUCUAAGCCACAGAACUGCACAGGCAGAUGUGAAAUGUAAGCCCUAUAGAGAAACAGAGAAACGAAACAAAAUCUGCAUUUGAACAUUGGAGUUUUAUCACAAUUGCAAUACAUCUAACAGUCUUCUUUGUUUUAGUUACUAUACUUUUUCUUACCAUCAUGAAGAAAAGAUAUCACAGAAAAUGAUGUUAAAGACAGGCCUAACAUACAUUUUCUGAGCUUUCUGGUGAAAGAUUAUGUUUUCAAAAAACUUCUCCAAGGGAAACUCUUUGAAGUGUUUUUACUGCCAUUUGAUCAGUUAAAAUUUUGUUAUUUGCAUUAUUUUGAAAUGUCUUUGUACUCUAAAGGCUGGUAAAAGAAUGCAUAAUUGUGGAAAACAAUUUAAUAAAUAAGAGAAAACUAAC